AUGGUGGACGUGAAAGUUGGAAUAAACAGCUUUGGUUGUAUUGGGUGCCUGGUCACCAGGGCUGCUUUUAACUCUGGCAAAGUGGAUAUGUCACCAUCAAUGACCCCUUCAUUGACCUCAACUACAUGGGCUACAUGUUCCAGUAUGAUUCCACCCAUGGCAAAUUCCAUGGCAUAGCCAAGGCUGAGAACAGGAAGCUUGUCAUCGAUGGAAAUUCCAUAACCGUCUUCCAGGAGCGAGAUCCCACCAAAAUCAAAUGGGGCAAGGCAAGCACUGAGUACAUUGUGGAGUCCACUGGUGCCUUCACCACCAUGGAGAAGGCUGGCAGUCACCUACAGGGGGGUGCCAAAAGGGUCAUCAUCUCUGUCCCUUCUGCUGAUGCCCGCAUGUUUGUGAUGGAUGUAAACCAUGAGAAGUAUGAAAACAGCCUUAGCAUUGUCAGCAAUGACUCCUGCACCACCAACUGCUUAGCCCCCUUCGCCAAGGUGAUCCAGGACAACUUUGGCAUCAUGGAGGGACUUAUGACCACAGUCUACGCCAUCACUGCCACCCAGAAGACUGUGUAUGGCCCCUCUGGGAAGUUGUGGUGUGAUGGUCGUGGUGCUAUUCAGAACAUCAUCCCUGCCUCAACUGGUGCAGCCAAGGCUGUGGGCAAGGUCAUCCCUGAGCUGAAUGGGAAGCUUAUUGGCAUGGCCUUCCAGGUCCCCACUGCCAACAUGUCGGUCGUGGAUCUCACCUGCCAUCUGGAGAAUGCUGCCAAAUAUGAUGAUAUCAAGAAGGUGGUGAAGCAGGCAUGGGAGGGCUCCCUCAAAGGCAUCCUGGGCUACACUGAGCACCAGGUUGUCUCCUCUGACUUCAACAGUGACACCCAGUCUUCCACCUUUGAUGCUGGGGCUGGCAUUGCCUUUAAUGACCACUUUGUCAAACCCAUCACCUGGUAUGACAAUGAAUUUGGCUACAGCAACAAGAUGGUGGACUUUAUGGCCCACGUGGCCUGCAAGGAGUGA